rnacentral:misc_RNA from 1 species
GGAGAACCUUUCUGAUCAGUAACGCACCGGUUGUGAUGACAAUAAGAACAACCAUACAACUUUCGUCCUGCCUNUAGAGGACGAGUGUCAGGCAGCAAGAGAGGCACAUGUGCGAGCUGGGUUAAUGGCACAGUGGGUUUUAGAAGAGAGUCCUUGCUUUGAUUUGGCUGUAUAUAAGCUUCGUUAAGGUUUUCAAGGCUCUCGUAAAGAUUUCCUAUACAGCCAACCAUUGCUGGUUUUUUGAGCAGCCUAAUCACAGUACCUACAGGCAAAGAGAGAAGGAUGAAGAGGAAAUCUACAAAAUCUUUUCCAGCUUCUGCGAAAAGGACUUUGUUCGCCUUCUUGUCGAUCAAUAGCUUCAAGCUCACUUUGUUCUCGGUAGCCAUUCUUGAUAUAAGGCUGAUAUCUGAUGCUUUGGCUUGUCAAGUUCCG